ACCAAGCGGCGGUGGUGGUGGCGGCUGGCAACCAAGUGGCGGCGGCUGGCAAUGAUCGGUGACACCACAACAUGCCACAAGCGUAUGAAGCGAAAAUAAAGUAGAGCUUCAAAGAAAUCAUGACUGGGCGACGUUUCCCCACAUCUAGUCGCCCCACGAAGUUUACGACCACAGUCGACCUGUAAAUGCUGUACAGAGCGGGCUUCUAUCCGUCCGUGUUGUUGCAAUAAACUGUUACAAAAUA